UGGACCAAUAGUAACAACUGCCAGCGUAUGCAUCUUGCGUGAUGAAUAAUAGAUGUCUGAAACUCUGAGGUGCAA
ensembl:snoRNA